ensembl:lncRNA
CUGCGAUUAGUCUCCAAAUAUGGGAGCAAAGAAGGGCAAAAAACCUCCACAAAAACCACAAGAAAAGAACAAAAAAGCUUUACAAAUUGAUAUGGCUGUGGCUAGUGAUUUGUCUUCUUUAGCCACUGCAAGUUUCAUCGAGGGACUCCAGCACAGCAAUGGUCCUCCUCUUCAUAGUACAGCUGUGGAGGAAGACUUGGCAGCUGCAGAGGAAGAACAGGUCCAGAAGAAGUUGACAAAACGUCCUGCAGCUCACAAGGAGACAAAAAAUCAGAAGAGGCCAAAAUCCACUCCACAAAAAAAGGCAACAAAGAGGAAGAGUUCUGGACAUGCAGAUGCAGCCAGAGCAGUCAAAAAGCAGAUGGUAAAGAGCCAAAAGGGAAUCACUUCAUCAGAGAAAUCCAGU